rnacentral:pre_miRNA from 1 species
AGCCUCCUGUGUCCGUGCAGAGAUUUCGUCAGAGAUCAACCCGUUGACACCGGCUGAUGCAACUUCCAAAAUAAGUGAAGUG